AGGAAAAUCUAAAAACUCCAUUGUGGUGAAAACGAAUGUUAUUCACGGGGCUAGCACUACGUGGCCAGCUGAUUCACCUCCUUCCUGUUGUUUCAUCCGCAAAACUUGACGAAUUUGUUUAGAUCUGUAGGUUAGGUAGGUGGGUGUACAGUCGUGGGUCAGCAGGGUGAAGCACACAAAGCUGAAAUACAAAUCUAAUUUUGGUUAAUGUCUUGUGGAGCAACUCUUUUUUCAUACCUAUUAUAAAAUAACCACAUUUAUUCCCUGUUUCCUGUUUUGUUCAAUUCAAAAGGGAGAAAAUUAAUCAAUUGGGAAAAAAGAGCUCUAAUAGAACGUAAAUGUUUUUGUCUUUUCAAGGCAGAUUAGCAGACAUGGCCUGAAAUGAGUUUCCUGCCUCUGGGUGUUGAUUCAUUAAGAAUCCCUACAGUUGAUGAUGAAUGCGUCACCAUUAAUCCUUCCCAUAAUCUUCAAGUCUUUUCAUUUUUGUAUUAUUUUAUGUGCUUUUAGUCAUGUCACCUGCUGCUUUAAAGAAAGUGUGAGCUAAAUGAACCUUCAGCGCUGUGUUAGCCAUUGGCUGGAUUAUGGCAUGUGGGACUAUAAAUGAGAUGGUGUGGUCCAUGCAAGCUCAGAAAUAAAUACACAAGGCAUUUGUAGAUUGUGCUGCUUUGAAAAGCAUUAAAGAUAUUGGACUUUUUCCUGGGUACAGACACAUGCAACUGUAAGAAAAGAUGCUUGGAUCACUGUUGUCAUGCUCGUCUUUUCUCACAGUGUCUUUCUUGCUGUUCUUCACUGUAUCUUCAUUUGUGCUGCUUGACUCCAGAGAGGCUCCAGAAGACUACAGGAAGUCCUUUGAACGGCAAUGGUGGACCCGGAGGAGACUUUGUGUUUGGAUCCAGAGACGACCGUUCCUUCACACAACAAGUGGAGUCUGCAUUUAUCAUGGAGGACGAAGAGCUGAAUACUCAUUUGUGGCCACAAGCAACACCCAUGAGGCACCCGUUAAGGUUCAGAGGAAGGACAAAGAAAUGCACCGAGAAAGGAUGUACUUAGAAGUUCAUUGGAUUGUGAAAGUAAAUAAGAUUGUAUAAGAGUUAAAUCUAUUAAAAUAUUAUUUGAAUACAAA